CCUACGGGAGGCAGCAGUGGGGAAUUUUGCGCAAUGCUCGUAAGAGUGACGCAGCGACGCCGCGUGAAUGACGAAGGCCUUCGGGUCGUAAAGUUCUUUCGACAGGGAAGAACAUGCCUAUAAGUAACUGUGUAUGUAUUGACGGUACCUGUAUAAGCAGCCCCGGCUAACUCCGUGCCAGCAGACGCGGUAAUACGGAGGGGGCGAGCGUUGUUCGGAGUGACUGGGCGUAAAGAGCACGUAGGCGGUGUUGUAAGUCAUUAGUCAACGACUAGAGUUCAAAUUUAGUAAGGCUAGUGAUACUAUAAUACGAGAGGAUCAGAGAGGAUUGCAGAAGUCCUGGUGUAGCGGUGAAAUGCGUAGAUAUCAGGAGGAAUACCGUUAGCGAAGGCGGCAAUCUGGCUGGAAACUGACGCUGAGGUGCGAAAGCGUGGGUAGCAAACAGGAUUAGAUACCCUUGUAGUC
rnacentral:rRNA from 1 species